UCCGAGUUGACCCCGGCAGUCUCCUGCGAGUCCCCGCCAUUACGCGCUGGCAACACAGGACAAGGGUUGCGCUCGUUGCGGGACUUAACCCAACAUCUCACGACACGAGCUGACGACAGCCAUGCAGCACCUGUGCUGGCCCCUUACGGACACGGGCUUUCACCCGCUUUAACCAGCAUGUCAAGCCCAGGUAAGGUGGGGAUGACGUCGGAGGAAUUCCA
rnacentral:misc_RNA from 1 species